ACAAACUUGGUCAUUUAGAGGAAGUAAAAGUCGUAACAAGGUCUCCGUUGGUGAACCAGCGGAGGGAUCAUUAGCGAGUUAACUAUAAACUCCAAACCCAUGUGAACAUACCUUUUGUUGCCUCGGCAGGUCGUGCUGCACGGUCGGACCGCUAUCCUUGAGGGGUGGCUACCCUGGAGUAGCUACCCCCGAGCAGGGAAAGCGGCCUAUUCUGCAGCGCGCAAGCAGGCCUGCCGACGGACCCUUAAACUCUGUUUUACAACUGUAUCUCUGAGUCUAUUAUACAAAUAAGUUAAAACUUUCAACAACGGAUCUCUUGGUUCUGGCAUCGAUGAAGAACGCAGC
rnacentral:misc_RNA from 1 species